CCUACGGGUGGCAGCAGUAGGGAAUCUUCCACAAUGGGCGAAAGCCUGAUGGAGCAACGCCGCGUGGGUGAAGAAGGUCUUCGGAUCGUAAAACCCUGUUGUUAGAGAAGAAAGUGCGGGAGAGUAACUGUUCACGUUUCGACGGUAUCUAACCAGAACGCCACGGCUAACUCCGUGCGAGCAGCUGCGGCAAUACGUAGGUGGCAAGCGUUAUCCGGAUUUAUUGGGAGUAAAGGGAACGAAGGCGGUAGUUUAAGUCUGAUGUGAAAGCCUUCGGCUUAACCGGUGUAGUGCAUUGGAGACUGGGAGGCUUGAGUGCAGAAGAGGGGGGUGGAA
rnacentral:rRNA from 1 species